rnacentral:rRNA from 1 species
AUUGAACGCUGGCGGCAUGCCUUACACAUGCAAGUCGAACGGUAACAGGUCUUCGGAUGCUGACGAGUGGCGAACGGGUGAGUAAUACAUCGGAACGUGCCCGAGAGGGGGGGAUAACGAGGCGAAAGCUUUGCUAAUACCGCAUACGAUCUCCGGAUGAAAGCAGGGGACCGCAAGGCCUUUCGCCCACGCAGUGGCCGAUGGCAGAUUAGGUAGUUGGGGGGGUAAAAGCUUACCAAGCCGACGAUCUGUAGCUGGUCUGAGAGGACGACCAGCCACACUGGGACUGAGACACGGCCCAGACUCCUACGGGAGGCAGCAGUGGGGAAUUUUGGACAAUGGGCGCAAGCCUGAUCCAGCCAUGCCGCGUGCAGGAUGAAGGCCUUCGGGUUGUAAACUGCUUUUGUACGGAACGAAAAGACUUCUUCUAAUAAAGGGGGUCCAUGACGGUACCGUAAGAAUAAGCACCGGCUAACUACGUGCCAGCCGCCGCGGUAACAC